UCUUGCCUGACAAGUCCCCUGACUUUUGUCUUAUCUUCCAGCUACAGAUUGAAAUGUUAAUCUUCUCAAUAUAAUCAAGUUUAAUUUUUGCAGUUUUGUUUCUGUGCCCAGAGGUGAAACUUGUGUGUUUUCAAUAAGUCAAAGUAAUAAAUGAGCAUAGUACAAUUACAAGGUAGGUCAUUUGAUGGUUCUAGAAAGAGAAAAUGCCCCCAUCUUAUCAUUCCAUAUUCCAGGACCUCUACCCCAAAUGGGUGGGGAAUCCACAGGGAAAAGAGCCACCAGAGAAACUGAAUGUGAUCAGGGAAGUAAUUCGCAGGGAGUUUAUUGGAUAUGCAAUUGACCCUAUUGCUUGUACAUCAAGAGUCUUUCACAUUAACUAAU
rnacentral:lncRNA from 1 species